UAGAGUUUGAUCCUGGCUCAGGAUGAACGCUAGCGGGAGGCUUAACACAUGCAAGUCGAGGGGUAACAUGAUAGCUUGCUAUCGAUGACGACCGGCGCACGGGUGAGUAACGCGUAUGCAACCUACCUUUUACAGAGGGAUAGCCCAGAGAAAUUUGGAUUAAUACCUCAUAGUACUAUUUAUUCGCAUGAUUAAAUAGUUAAAGUUUCGGCGGUAAAAGAUGGGCAUGCGUGACAUUAGAUAGUUGGCGGGGUAACGGCCCACCAAGUCUACGAUGUCUAGGGGUUCUGAGAGGAUGAUCCCCCAAACUGGUACUGAGACACGGACCAGACUCCUACGGGAGGCAGCAGUGAGGAAUAUUGGUCAAUGGGCGCAAGCCUGAACCAGCCAUCCCGCGUG
rnacentral:rRNA from 1 species